rnacentral:rRNA from 1 species
GACGAACGCUGGCGGCAUGCCUAAUACAUGCAAGUCGAGCGAACAGAUGAAGUGCUUGCACUUCUGACGUUAGCGGCGAACGGGUGAGUAACACGUAAGGAAUCUACCUAUAAGCGGGGGAUAACAUUCGGAAACGGGUGCUAAUACCGCAUAAUAGCUUCUUCCGCAUGGAAGAAGAUUGAAAGACGGCUCUGCUGUCACUUAUAGAUGUACUGGCGGUGCAUUAGUUAGUUGGUGGGGUAACGGCCUACCAAGACGAUGAUGCAUAGCCGACCUGAGAGGGUGAUCGGCCACAUUGGGACUGAGACACGGCCCAAACUCCUACGGGAGGCAGCAGUAGGGAAUCUUCCGCAAUGGGCGAAAGCCUGACGGAGCAAUGCCGCGUGAGUGAAGAAGGCCUUCGGGUCGUAAAACUCUGUUAUAAGAGAAGAACAAAUUGUAGAGUAACUGCUACAGUCUUGACGGUAUCUUAUCAGAAAGCCACGGCUAACUAUGUGCCAGCCGCCGCCGAAA